AUGGUGUACUUCACUGUAGACCAGAUCCAGGCCAUCACAGACAAGAAGGCCAACAUUUGCAACAUGUCUGUCAUCACCCACAUGUACCACGGCAAGUCCACGCUGAUGGAUUCCCUGGUGUGCAAAGCUAGCAUCAUCACAUCCAAUCGCACUGGUGAGACCAGCUUCACUGACACCCGGAAGGGUGAGCAAAAGCACUGUAUCACCAAGUCAACCGCUAUCUCCCUCUUCUAUGAACUUUCUGAGAAUGACUUGAACUUUAUCAAGCAGAGCAAGGAUGGCUCUGGCUUCCUCAUCAACCUCAUUGACUCUCCUUGGCAUAUGGACUUCUCCUCAGAGGUGACAGUUGCCCUACAUAUCACUGAUGGCAUCUUAGUGGUGGUGGACUGUGUGUCAGAUGUGUGUGCAGAGACAGUGCUGCAGGAGGCUGUCACUGAGCGCAUCAAGACUGUACUCAUGAUGAUAAAGAUGGACCGUGCCCUACUAGAGCUACAGCUGGAGCCUGAGGAGCUGUACCAGACCUUCCAGGGCAUAGUGGAGAACGUCAACAUCAUCAUCUUCACCUAUGGCGAGGGCGAGAGCAGCCCCAUGGGCAACACCAUGAAUGACCCUGUCCUUGGUACUGUGGGCUUUGGGUCAGGCCUGCAUGGCUGGGCCUUCACCCUGAAGCAGUUCACAGAGAUGUACGUGGCCAAGUUCACUGCCAAGGGGGAGGGCCAGCUGGAGCCUGCUAAGUGGGCCAAGAAGGUGGAAAACAUGAUGAAGAAGCUGUGGGAUGACCGGUACUUCGAUCCAUCCAACAGCAAGUUUAGCAAGUCAGCCACCAGUCCUGAUGGAAAGAAGCUGCCUCGUACUUUCUGUCAGCUCAUCCUGGACCCCAUCUUCAAGGUGUUUGAUGCAAUCAUGAACUUCAAGAAAAAGGAGAUGGCAAAGCUGAUUGAGGAGCUGGACAUUAAGCUGGACAGCGAGGACAAAGACAAAAAGGGCAAGCCACUGCUCAAGGCUGUGAGGCGCCGCUGGCUGCCAGCCGGGGAUGCACUGCUACAGAUGAUCAUGAUCCACUUGCCAUUGCCUGUCACAACACAGAAGUACUGCUGUGAGCUGCUAUAUGAGGGGCUCCUAGAUGAUGAGGCCCCCAUGGGCAUUAAAAGCUGUGACCCUAAAGGUCCCCAAAUGAUGUACAUUUCCAAAACAGACGCGUCUUCUCAGGGCUGGUGUCCAUCAGCUUAAAGGUCCUGAUUAUGGGCCCUAACUACACCCCUGGGAAGAAGGAGGACCUCUACCUGAAGCCCAUUCAGAGGACCAUCCUGAUAAUGGGCCAUUAUGUGGAGCUCACUGAGGACGUACACUGUGGGAACAUUGUGGGACUGGUGGGUGUGGACCAGUUCCUAGUGAAGACUGGCACCAUCACCACCUUUGAGCAUGCCCACAGCAUGCGUGUGAUGAAUUUCAGCUUCAGCCCUGUGGUCAGAGUGGCUGUGGAGGCCAAGAAUCUGGCUGACCUUCCCAAGCUAGUGGACGGGCUGAAGCGGCUCGCCAAGUCCCACCCCAUGGUGCAAUGCAUCAUUGAGGAGUCGGGAGAGCACAUCAUCACGGGCACUGGAGAGCUGCACCUGGAGAUCUGCCUCAAGGACUUGGAGGAGGACCACACCUGCAUCCCCAUCAAGAAAUCGGACCCUGUGGUCUCAUACUGGGAGACAGUGAGUGAUGAGUCGAACCUGAUGUGCCUCUUCAAGUCCCCCAACAAGCACAACCUCCUGUACAUGAAGGCAUGACCCUUCCCGGAUUGCCUGCCUGAGGACAUUGACAAAGGUGAGAUGUCUGCCCACCAGGAGCUAAAGCAGCAUGCCUGCUACCUGGCUGAGAAAUAUGAGUGGGACGUGGCAGAGGACCACAAGAUCUGGUGCUUUGGCCCUGAUGGCACUGGUCCCAACAUCCUCACCAACAUCACCAAGGGGCUGCAGUAUGUCAGUGAGAUCAAGGAUAGUGUGGUGGCCAGCUUCCAGUGGGCCACCAAGGAGGGGGUGCUAUGUGAGGAAAAUAUGCAUGGAGUGUGCUUUGAUGUCCAUGACGUGACCCUGCAUGCCGACGUCAUCCACCGUGGGGGUGGUCAGAUCAUCCCCACGCAUGGUGCUGCCUAUAAGCCAGCAUGCUGACAGCACAGCUGUGCCUCAUGGAGCUCAUCUACCUUGCGGAGAUCCAGUGUCCAGAACAAGUGGUUGGGGGAUCUAUGAUGUCCUGAACAGGAAGCGAGGCCAUGUCUUCAAGGAGUCCCAGGUGGCUGGCACCCCUAUGUUCGUGGUUAAGGCCUACCUGCCCAUCAAUGAGUCCUUCGGGCCUCACUGCCGACCUGUGGUCCAACACGGGUGGUCAGGCCUUCCUCCAGUAUGUGUUCGACCACUGGCAGAUCCUGCCCGGUGACCCCUUUGAUAAUAGCAGCCACCCAAGCCAGGUGGUGGUGGAGACCCACAAGCACAAGGGCCAGCUUUGGACAACUUCCUGGACAAGUUGUGGCAGGUGGCACCACUCCAGCUCCACCACGGCAGCACGUCCUCACUCAAAUGA